rnacentral:rRNA from 1 species
UGGGGAAUUUUGCGCAAUGGGCGAAAGCCUGACGCAGCGACGCCGCGUGUGCGAUGAAGGCCUUUGGGUCGUAAAGCACUGUCGAUCGGGACGAAAGCUCACCGACUAAUACUUGGUGAGGUUGACGGUACCGGUAAAGGAAGCACCGGCCAACUCUGUGCCAGCAGCCGCGGUAAUACAGAGGGUGCAAACGUUGCUCGGAAUGAUUGGGCGUAAAGCGCGUGUAGGCGGUCUAGUAUGCCGGUUGUGAAAGCCCGAGGCUCAACCUCGGAAGUGCAGUCGGAACUGCUAGACUAGAGUGCCGAAUAGGAUGGCGGAAUGCCCAGUGUAGAGGUGAAAUUCGUAGAUAUUGGGUAGAACACCGGUGGCGAAGGCGGCCAUCUGGGAGGUUACUGACGCUGAGACGCGAAAGCGUGGGGAGCAAACAG